rnacentral:rRNA from 1 species
UACGAGUUUCGUAGUCCUGGCGUCAGGACGAACGCUGGCGGCGUGCUUAACACAUGCAAGUCGACGGAAAGGCCCUGCUUUUGUGGGGUGCUCGAGUGGCGAACGGGUGAGUACACGUGAGUAACCUGCCCUUGACUUUGGGAUAACUUCAGGAAACUGGGGCUAAUACCGGAUAGGAGCUCCUGCUGCAUGGUGGGGUUGGAAAGUUUCGGCGGUUGGGGAUGGACUCGCGGCUUAUCAGCUUGUUGGUGGGGUAGUGGCUUACCAAGGCUUUGACGGGUAGCCGGCCUGAGAGGGUGACCGGCCACAUUGGGACUGGGAUACGGCCCAGACUCCUACGGGAGGCAGCAGUGGGGAAUAUUGCACAAUGGGCGGAAGCCUGAUGCAGCAACGCCGCGUGCGGGAUGACGGCCUUCGGGUUGUAAACCGCUUUCGCCUGUGACGAAGCGUGAGUGACGGUAAUGGGUAAAGAAGCACCGGCUAACUACGUG